AACUGCAACCACAUGUUCAACCACAGUAUCCUUCCUGUUACUUGUGGAAUGCGAACUGCCAAGAAAUAACCUUUAGAAGGAGGAAAGGAAAAAAGGCAAACCCAACAACAAACAGGACAGUUUUACCUCCAAGAGAGACAAAAACAACCCCAGCGCUGAAUAUAUUUUGUGGGCCCAAAAUCCAGCGUUCUUUUCUGGUUCAGCAAAGGCACCGAACUAUGCAAGGUAAUUUUUGCCCAGCUGUACCUACCGGUGAAAGAAGCGAGAUCUGCUUUGUUCACAGAAAACAAGAACCUGGCUGCGUGGGUUGCACGGCACUUUCACUGUUUAGAUGAAAAUGGAUUGGAUUUUUGGUCUGUGUUUUCCUAGGAGGAAGCAACAAGACAUGGCGUUUUUAAUGCCAUUUUUUCCUCUCGGUUUCACAAAAAGCCAAACCCUGCUCAAGAAAACACCCUUGCGAAGGCCCCGGGGCUGUGGAUCGGGUCCUUGGACUAAUCUCCCGGACUUGCCAUCCCCGCAGUUUACAAGACUUUCUCCUCCUCCCCUGACCGAUUUUGGAUUUUAACUCGUUGUCAUGUGCUUGGACAAGAACAUAUUUAUAAUUCUUCCUGUGAUAUUGUUUUAUCUGUGAGUUAGGCUUCCAUUAGCCGGAUAUUCAGCAAUAUCAAGUAAGGCCAGCGGAAAAAUAAUCAGGAGAAGGCAAGCUCGCGCAGCUGCACAGUAAAUCUGUGGUGCUGGUUCAUGUUAGGGUAGGGGAGACACAAGAAGCCCUAUGUUUCCACCAGGACGAACAUCACCCAGUGAAACAACGAUAUUGAACUUAAAAGAGACAAGACUGUUACAAACUAGAAUGAGGAGAACAGACCUGAAGAAGUAGAUGCUCUUUUGCAAGAGCGUUUGCUGCUCUCCCAGACACAAACGUGUUGCUAUCGCUUGCAAAUUCAAUGCUGUAUAUAAGUGAAAUUAAACGUGUCCUUGUUAGCAGCAUCUCCUUUAAACCACACACAUUUAUUUUUGAUUACCUGGAGUACGGAAACCAAGCAGUGGAAAAUAAAAUGAACAAAGCAUGAAGAAAACCAAAACGAUCUACCAAACAAUAGCCUGAGCCCUGUUUCUUUUUAGAAAGCGCAGUUUUCAGGCGCUUUAAAAAGAUUUCCCAGGAUAGGCUCAGUGUUAUCCAAGAGUUUUUCGGCGCUGACACAACAUAACUGUUAUCAUCCGUGGGACUCAGGGGACUGUUCUUUUUGACAGGGCCUUUCAUGAAGUCAACAAACUCGUCUGAAACAAGCCAUAAAUUACAUUUGGCUGCACAUCAGCUUGGCCGGAGUGUUCUCUCAGUGCUGUCAUAAGUUUUGGGGAAAGAGGAUGGCACCACAGACCAAUGUUUAGCUGUCAGGGGUUAUUUAGUUCUCAAUUUCAAACCAAAGCAUCCCCAUAACAUUGUCUCUGAUGCAUAAACAUAUGUUAAACAACAAUCAAGAUGUUCAGAGGCUUUCCCACAAGUAAACACCCCCAUUCUGGAUCCUCAGUAAUGGCUUCAGAAAUAAGGGAUUUGAUACGGGUCUCAUUGCUAAAUCCGGGGAUUGUCAGAAGAUCAUCUCCCCACUCUCGCCUCCUGUAGCAGUAUAUGGAGAGAGAAGGGCUUUCUGAGAGCUGGGUUCCCAGCCUUAUAUCGCUCUCUAGAUUAUUAUUAUUAUUAACAUCCUGAAUUGCAGCCAGAACGGACUGAAAGCACAAUAACCGUCUACUCACCGCCUGCUGAGUCAGCAGCUGAAGCUGCAGCCGAUGCAGCCAAACAAGUCACCGCACGCAGACGUCGUCACCCUCGGAAGCGCUCGGUUACUCAUUCUAUAUCGAUUUUUCCUGCCCGUGUCCCAACCCCGGGUGUCGCACGGAGGCGUCACCACACCCCUUGGAGCUGGAGGUCAGGAGGGUGGCAGGGACACCACAGUUCCAGGGGAAAAAGGUGAAUCCUCCGGGGGCUUUGGCAUCACCUCAGAGAAAACAGAUUCCACCAAAGAGGCAGGGAGAGACACCAAGUUGAGACUGGAGCCCUGGAACAGUCCUUAGUGGGGGAAAGUCAAUUCUUUCCUGUUCUUUCUAGCAGGACGAGCACCGUGCACGCCGGCCGGGCUGCCUGCUGCGGUGCGGGACUGGUAGACCUCACACCCCAGAGCAGGCUCGCACGCUGACACCGCUACCAGCAGCCUCAAGGAAACGGAAAAUUCAACUCCCUGCCUCAGCGGGAACUUGUUUCCCCUUUAGUCCAGUUAAAUAAUCUGUGCCAGACAUUACUUUUGGCCUUUAGACGCAUAGAAGUCCGUCUGAAGGCUGUUAUGACUUCAUUUUUCUUUGUCUCUGAAGCACAGAGAAGAGCACCAAAUGUUGAGCCUUUGAAAAAACAACAAGAUAAAUAAACAUUUGCGAGUAUGAACUAG